rnacentral:rRNA from 1 species
AGAGUUUGAUCCUGGCUCAGGACGAACGCUGGCGGCGUGCCUAACACAUACAAGUCGAGCGAGAGGAGUUCCUUCGGGAACAAAUCUAGCGGCGGACGGGUGAGUAACACGUGGGCAACCUGCCUUGUAGAGGGGAAUAGCCUUCCGAAAGGAAGAUUAAUACCGCAUAACAUUACAUUUUCGCAUGAAGAAGUAAUUAAAGGAGCAAUCCGCUACAAGAUGGGCCCGCGGCGCAUUAGCUAGUUGGUGAGGUAACGGCUCACCAAGGCGACGAUGCGUAGCCGACCUGAGAGGGUGAUCGGCCACAUUGGGACUGAGACACGGCCCAGACUCCUACGGGAGGCAGCAGUGGGGAAUAUUGCACAAUGGGGGAAACCCUGAUGCAGCAACGCCGCGUGAGUGAUGAAGGUUUUCGGAUCGUAAAGCUCUGUCUUCAGGGACGAUAAUGACGGUACCUGAGGAGGAAGCCACGGCUAACUACGUGCCAGCCGCCGCGGUAAUC